rnacentral:piRNA from 1 species
UCUGAAGAGGCUUGCCUUGAAGGGAGA